rnacentral:rRNA from 1 species
UGGGGAAUCUUGCGCAAUGGGCGAAAGCCUGACGCAGCGACGCCGCGUGAGUGAUGAAGGCCUUCGGGUUGUAAAGCUCUGUGGGGAGAGAAGAAUAAGUGCGGGCUAAUACUCCGCAUGAUGACGGUAUCUCCUUAGCAAGCACCGGCUAACUCUGUGCCAGCAGCCGCGGUAAGACAGAGGGUGCAAACGUUGUUCGGAAUUACUGGGCGUAAAGCGAGUGUAGGCGGUUUGGUAAGUCGGAUGUGAAAGCCCCGGGCUCAACCCGGGAAGUGCACUCGAUACUGCCAAGCUAGAGUAUCGGAGAGGUUGGUGGAAUUCUCGGUGUAGAGGUGAAAUUCGUAGAUAUCGAGAGGAACACCGGUGGCGAAGGCGGCCAACUGGACGAAUACUGACGCUGAGACUCGAAAGCGUGGGGAGCAAACAGGAUUAGAUACCCACGUAGUCCCUGAGCGGGCUGGCAAGGCGCAU